rnacentral:misc_RNA from 1 species
UAGACGCGAAAAGUGUCAUGACAUGCCGACUUUGCGAAUGACCAAUUUUUGAACGCACCUUGCACCUAUCCUUGGGAUGGGUGUGCUUGUGUGAGUGUGGGACGGAGCUUGGUUAAAGAUUGCCAGAGAUGAGGCGUGCGAACGAAAAUAGCUGCCUUGAAAGACAUGGCGAGCACGAGAUGAGCGCCCUGGGAUACAUCUACAGGCUGCGAGUCACGUGUUCGGUAACGAGAGGGUGUGUGAGUGAGAUCUUGGAACGGAGAGAUAACAUGCUCCCCCUUUCACCGUCUCACUCACACCCCCCUACACUACAUAUAUCAUACCCACCUCACAUCAAGCAAGACCACCCGCUGAACUUAA